UAUCAAUAUUGUAAUCUUUAAGAAAAUUGUAUAAAGGGGUAAAUAAAUAAGCAUAUUAUUUGAUUAAAUAAAAUCUCAAUCUUGUAGAUUUUAAAAACCAUGAUUCACAAAACAUUCUCUUUUUUAUUCAUAGCCAUUUUUUUCUUAAUUUUUUGUUUAUCCUCAACAACAUCCUGUACAAGAUUAUUACAAGCACGUAGGGCUAUUAUGGCUGAUGAUGAUAAUGGUGAUUAUAAUCAGGAUAAUAAUAAUAAUGAUGAUGAUUAUAAUGAUGCUAGCUCACCAGCAAUUCCACCAGAGUAUGUUGGAAUUCCAAUGCGACCUCAUUCCUCUAAACCAGAUCAUUCGGCAACUGAUCAACACCCACCACCUGCUGUUAUACACCCACCCCCUGGUAAAAU